rnacentral:rRNA from 1 species
AAGGAAUUUUCGGCAAUGGGGGCAACCCUGACCGAGCAACGCCGCGUGCAGGAUGACGGCCUUCGGGUUGUAAACUGCUUUUCAGGGGGAUGAAGAUGACCGUACCCCUGGGAUAAGGCUCGGCUAACUCUGUGCCAGCAGCCGCGGUAAGACAGAGGAGCCAAGCGUUGUCCGGAGUAACCGGGCGUAAAGCGCACGCAGGUGGUCGUGUGCGUGGGGUGUGAAAGCUCUCGGCUUAACUGAGAGAGGCCACCUCAUACGGCACGGCUCGAGCCCUGCAGAGGUCCACGGAAUUGCCGGUGUAGUGGUGAAAUGCGUAGAGAUCGGCAGGAACACCCAGGGGGAAACCAGUGGACUGGGCAGGCGCUGACACUCAUGUGCGAAAGCGUGGGGAGCGAAC